ensembl:lncRNA
CCACUGAUGGAUGCAAAAGCAAUGAUGGGUAAAAGAGCUAGGGUCUUAGCUCAAACCAAGGCUGUGGCAACGAGGGUAAUCAUACUACUGCAUUCUUUCCCAGCAUCAUGGCCUCACAGAAAUUCUUGAAAAAGCCACCUUCACCCAGGAACAUCCUUGAUCCUUGAUGAAGCAGAAAAACUCUUAAUUUUAUUAAAUAUAGACCCUUGAGUUUAAGACUUUUUACUAUUUUACGUGACUAAAUAAGAAAGAUUUAUAUCAUCUAAAUACAUAAGUAUACAAUAAAUAUGUGAAUAGGUAUUACAAAUAUAUGUCACCUCUGCUGUAUAUCAUUGUAUGGUCAUUUUCUCAGACUAUCACGUCACAAUUAUUUGAGUUGAGAAUGGAAACAGCCUCUGAAGUCUGUUGAUCACUAUUUUUAUCUGAAAAAAUGAUUGAAUAACUGUGGUUAUUCAGACCAGGAGAUCUGGAAGGAAUUUUCCAUGUGUUGCAGGAGUGGCAGUAAAAAAAAAAAAAAAGUUACAGGAGAGGGAUUCUGAGAAUAUUGAGACAGAAGCCAAAUGUGAGGAUGAGAUAACAGAGGAGGAAAUGCAGAGGAUGCAAUAGUGAUCCUGAGAUAUCCUCCUGGGGUGACACUCGGCCUCUGAUUGGCCAAUGACCCCACACAGGAUAAAACAAGGGACCUUGAACCACCUUGGUAACCCUCCGAGCUCCACUCUCCUCAGGAGCCCCGAGAGUGGCUCAGUGGUCCCAGCACGGAGCAGAUGCCCCCAGGGACUACAUGGCGUGGAGAGACUAAUACCUCAAACCAUGAGAGUCUGAAAUGGAACAGCUACCAGAGUCGGCAGUCACAGGGCUCCGUGAAGAAGCAGCCUAGGACCUAUCACAGAGAAGAUGGCCUUGGUGUCCUGACCACUCUCCAGCCAUCGAAGCAGUGGACCGGCCCCAGGGCGCGGGCUCCUUGGGCAAACAGUGCCCAGGAUAUUUUGGUGAGCACCGUAAGUUAUUCGUGAUGACAUCAACCUCCUACAGUUUUCUCCUUCAUGUCCCUAGAAUAUUGUUGCUAGUGCAUUAUGGGUCUACACUCUAAAACCAUCCCAAACAUGCUCAAUCCCUCAUACUACUGAUAUAGUUCAUGGGUUCAAACUUCAAGGGCUUUCUACGGGACUGCCGACCCUCCUCUGCGUCUGUGCCCCCCUCUUAGCUCCUCAGACAUCACUCACUUCUGGUUUCUUCCUCUGCACCCUUUCCUUUUCUCUGUAUCCCUUGGUCCUUUUAUUAAUUACACGUUUUAUUUUAUUUUGUUUUAUUGGGGUUUAGUUGGCUUACAAUGUUAUAUUCGUUUUAGGUGUUCAGCAAAGUGAAUCAGGCACACGUAUUCAUACAUCCAUUCUUUUUCCCCCUCUAGGUUAUUACACACUCUUGGGUAGGUUCUCCUGUGCUCUGUGGUAGCUUCUCAUCAAUCAUCUAUUUUAUACAGUGGCGUGUCCAUGUCACUGUCACCCUCCCGAUUCUUCCCUUCCCACAACGGUUUCCCCUAUGGCGACCAUAAGACUGGUUUUGAAAUCUAGGGGUCUGUUUCUGUUUUAUAAAAAAGCUCUGUUGUAUCAUUCUUUAUUCGAGUGUAUCAUAUGAUAGAGGUGCUAUCAUAUGAUACUUAGCUGACUUACUCCACCGAGGUCAGUGGGCCUGCCACCUGGACACAGGUAUGGAGGCAGACCAGAUGCCUCCACACACCUUGCCAUCUUCCGUCAUCCUCUCCCCUGUACCCUGAACUCCUUUUCAUGUACUAACCGUACUGAGCGUUCCACCCUCGGCGUGGACACGCUCCCCCAAGCCUCUGGCCCUUCUUCAAGUGGUUUCUCUGCAUUGGGUGCCAUCCUCCUUGGUAACGUCUACCAGGUCUUCAAGGGUCAACUGUCC